rnacentral:tRNA from 1 species
GAAAAGUUAGUUAAUAUAUUUAUAACAUAAAAUUGUCAAUUUUAAAUUACUAUUUUAUA